ACACCACUAACACAAGCCGAAUCCUGGGAAACAGGCAGAACUUAGGUUCGUAAGCUCGGGUAAUUGGAAGGUGGGCUGUCAACCCACCACCAUCUUACCGCCGCAUUGCCUUGUGUUUGGCC
rfam:Barley yellow dwarf virus-PAS PAV-129, complete genome.